UCCCUAUCUGCCGUGGGUGUUGGAAACUUGAGAGGAUCUGUCCUUAGUACGAGAGGACCGGGAUGGACAUACCUCUGGUGGACCUGUCGUGGCGCCAGCCGCGCAGCAGGGUAGCUAUGUAUGGACGGGAUAGCCGCUGAAAGCAUCUAAGCGGGAAACUUUUUUCAAAACAAGUUCUUUGCUUUAAAAAAUUUUAUUUUUUAGAGCAUACGUAAAAGACUCUUACGUGAAUAGACAAGGGAUUUGAGAGUCGUGAGAUUCAGUGCUUCUUGUACUAAA
rnacentral:rRNA from 16 species